GUUUGGGAGGGGAAAAUACUGGCCCACGAGCAAAUCCCGAAAUUUCCCCGAUAGCCCGUUUACUUCUCUGGUAUGUUUGGGGAAUUCCCGGCCCAUCCCCGAUCUUCCCGGCCUGGUAAGCCUCCUCCUCGGGUAUUCUCACCCACGACCCUACCCCCGUGUAUUUGGUCCUGGAAGGAAAGGGAGAGACGAGGCGACGGCGGCGAUCGGAGCCGACGGCGGCGGGGAAGGAGACGGCGGUGACUGAACGAGCAAACCACAACGGCGAUGACGAGUUCCUACUCCGGCGACAGUUUUCCGGUCUGCCAUGGACUGCAGCUCCGAUGACUCAUCAGAGCUAAAUGAUAUUGAUAUUGAUGGCUAUCCAGGUUACUUAUUUGUCAAGUUGUUGCAUCUGUGUUCCUGUUCGAGAAAAUUGUAUUACACUGAGUUCAUGUUAAAUAGUGUAUGUGUAAUGCCGUUUAAAAUUAUACCUAAUACUUAGUGGAACUGGUUGUGCAUUACACAAUCAAAGAUUGAGUUUCUAA